ensembl:snRNA U6 U6 spliceosomal RNA
GUGUUCGCUUCAGUGGCACAUAUACUAAAACUGGAAGGAUACAGAGAGGAUAAGCAUGGCUCCUGCGCAAGGAUGACGCAGCAAAUCGGUGAAGUGUUCCAUAUUUUU